rnacentral:tRNA from 1 species
AGGAUAAUAGUUUAUAUAAUACAACAGUUAAUUUGCAAUUAAAAAAAAUUGGUAAACCAAUUUAUCUUU